rnacentral:rRNA from 1 species
GCUACGGGUGGCUGCAGUGGGGAAUAUUGCACAAUGGGCGCAAGCCUGAUGCAGCCAUGCCGCGUGUGUGAAGAAGGCCUUCGGGUUGUAAAGCACUUUCAGCGGGGAGGAAGGCGGUGAGGUUAAUAACCUCAUCGAUUGACGUUACCCGCAGAAGAAGCACCGGCUAACUCCGUGCCAGCGGCCGCGGUAAUACGGAGGGUGCAAGCGUUAAUCGGAAUUACUGGGCGUAAGGCGCACGCAGGCGGUCUGUCAAGUCGGAUGUGAAAUCCCCGGGCUCAACCUGGGAACUGCAUUCGAAACUGGCAGGCUAGAGUCUUGUAGAGGGGGGUAGAAUUCCAGGUGUAGCGGUGAAAUGCGUAGAGAUCUGGAGGAAUACCGGUGGCGAAGGCGGCCCCCUGGACAAAGACUGACGCUCAGGUGCGAAAGCGUGGGGAGCAAACAGGAUUAGAUACCCUUGUAGUC